CAGAAAUACUACAAAGAUUUAAAAGACCCAGAGGCUGCGGGAGUUAUUCUGCAUGGUCAGCAGAGCCUCCCAUAUUAGAACAAAGGAUUCUAUGACUACAAAACAAAGCAAAGAGUCCUUAUUUACAGUUUCCUUAAUUGUAAGGCAAACACAACAAAAUCUCUAAAUACUCCUUGGUGAGGAUCAGCUGUGUAAACCUGAUCCAUAUAUUGAAAGAUCACACAGUAAUCCAGAGCAGCUAUGAGCACGUCUUAUUUUUCACACUGAACUAUUUCUAUAAUACACUGUCAACGGGGAAAAGCUGAUUUCAGGAAAAUGUGCAUAUAUGUGAAACAGCGUCUGCUUCCUCUGUCCCCGAGCCUACCCUGGCCUGCUGCCACUUCUGACUGGUGGGGCCAGUCCCCAGUUCCCAGAUGGAAGGAGGGAACAUUACUUUUUCUCUUUCCUGGGUCGUGUGCUUUGUUUUUCACAUGGGACACAAAACACUUCUAUAAAAAAGGAAGAGUCCGUUUCCAGGACCAUCACGGCGCUGCGUGCGGCAGGCUCGACCCGGCUGCGCUGACCGUGCUGGAAGGAGCCCGGAGCGUCCGUGCAUCACGGAGGGGUUUAACAGCGCCUGCUUGUGAUGCGCCAUCAGCCACUCUUGGGAUGACCGGCCCUUCCCUGUACCUGGCUCUCAGAGCCCUUCACGGCCGGCAUCGUCCCAGGGUCUUCAGAAGCACCCAGAGUCUCCCUCAUUCCUCAGGACACCAAGCCUCCCGGGGGCCGGGUGGGCUUGGGCGCUGCUUCCUCGUGGGGAAUAGGAAUCUGCCUUGCUCCCUUACGCUCCUCUGCUUUAUCCCUUCCCUGUUGGCCAGGCGAGAUCCAGGGGGCCAAUCUGACUUGGAAACACUGGCCCUUCCUCUGUCCCCCUUGGUGCAGCCCCUACCUGGCUGGCAGGGGCGUGAGAUGCCCAGGGCUGAGUGCAGCGCCACCCUCCUGCACACAGCUCGGCCAGCGUCGGGCCUGCCUGUGCUGCCCGGGCCCUCUGACCCUGUGGAAAGGGCACUUGAGUGGUGGCGGCAAAGUGAGUGAGGAGCAUGCCCUCAGAGGCCGCUGCCUUGGCUCUGGGCACCUCAAAGGCUGUGUCACUGCCUCUCCAUCUUCACCCUCA
rnacentral:lncRNA from 1 species